rnacentral:snoRNA from 1 species
CCCCUCUCAGGAUCACACCUGCAGAGUUUCCAGUACUCUCCUAGUCUUGGCUAUGGGAGGGAGAAUUAAGCAGAAGCAUACCCAUUGCAUUCCUAGCUUGGGCAGUGGCUAGCCAGUGGAAGGCAAUCUGCUACAAGU